rnacentral:rRNA from 1 species
GACAGAGGGUGCAAACGUUGUUCGGAAUUAUUGGGCAUAAAGCGCGCGUAGGCGGUUACUCAAGUCGGAUGUGAAAGCCCUCGGCUUAACUGAGGAAGUGCACCCGAAACUGAGUAGCUAGAGUACUAAAGAGGGUCGCGGAAUUCCCGGUGUAGAGGUGAAAUUCGUAGAUAUCGGGAGGAACACCGGUGGCGAAGGCGGCGACCUGGGUAGAUACUGACGCUGAGGAGCGAAAGCGUGGGGAGCGAACAGG